UUCUGGGAGGAUUGACAGAUUGAGAGCUCUUUCUUGAUUCGGUGUAUGGUGGUGCAUGGCCGUUCUUAGUUGGUAGAGCGAUUUGUCUGGUUAAUUCUGAUAACGAAGGAGACUUUAGACUAUUAAAUAGGUGCGUUGUUCUCUGCACCUUGCACCCUUCUUAGAGGGACAAGCGGCUCCUAGCCGCACGAAACGGAGCAAUAACAGGUCUGUGAUGUUGAUUA
rnacentral:rRNA from 1 species